ACGUAGGUACCGAGCGUUAUCCGGAUUUACUGGGCGUAAAGGGCGUUCCGGCGGUCUGGCAAGUCGGGCAUGAAAUCUCUCGGCUCAACCGGGAGGGGUUGUCCGAUACUGCUGGACUUGAGGGCAGGAGAGGGUGGUGGAAUUCCGGGUGUAGUGGUGAAAUGCGUAGAGAUCCGGAGGAACACCAGUGGCGAAGGCGGCCACCUGGCCUGUACCUGACGCUGACACGCGAAAGCUAGGGGAGCGAACGGGA
rnacentral:rRNA from 1 species